UCCACCCUGUCUUUGAUCCUUUUACUUUCACUGCAAUCACUUGCCCAUCCAAGCCUACAUUGGUGAUCAGAACUUGAUGGAAGUAUGAACUCCCCUUCACGGUGAAUCUAAUCCCUCCAUUUCUCUCACAAUUAACCCUGUCAGCCCUUGGCUCUGCUAUUUCGGCAAAUGCAGCCUCGGACAUUUCGAAAUGUGCUUUGGGGAAGUUGCACCACCCACCAUAAUCAGCUGGAAGCCCAUAAUUCGGGGGACAGAAAUCCGUGGCGGUUAGAAUGACGGAAGGGCUUCCCCGCAGGCACCACAAAAUGUGAUCGACACAUCUCAGCUCGAAGCAUCCCCCACAGCAGCGUAAAUAGUUGUAAGUCCUCCACCAAUAGAUGGUCUAGCGGUAUCAGGCCCUUACUUCUUAAAGGGAUGUCAGGAGUUCGAGUUUCAGGGGAGGCAUGUGUGUGGAUGUACCAACUAAGAAAAAAAAAAAAGUUGCAAGUCGUCCUCCGUGAUUGAUUUAUCCAGUUGUGUGAUGGUGAGCAGCUUACAGGGGAUCUGUCGUGACCACUCCACGAUGAUAUCUUUCAGUGGAACAAUGCAGGUGGCAGGUGUAUCCUUGCCAUUGUCUCCAAUAAGAACUGAAUUUCUCUCUUUCCUGCUGCUGCUGCUAUCGUUGUCAUUCUUGUU